UUACCUUAAGUCCAGAAUUUAUUCCUGAAGGAAGUUCAUGGAACAAUUGACAAUCAUUAUGCUCAAUAUUAUGUACAGGUUGAGCACCAUGCACGUAUCCCAAAGCCUAUUGACCGAAACAGAUUCCUAGUAUAGGAAUAUAGUGUAUUCACCCAAGAGUCUCAUGCAAAUUCCUAUAUCUUCUCUCCACGGGGUUUUAAUUUCUCAAACGCUAGACAACUAAUUAAUAGUAUAUCUACAAAUUAAAACAACCGCCCUCUACUCAAUUAGUUCGAGUCUUGUGCUGACAACAUGUUAUAAAACAAUAAAAGAAGAAGAGUAGUAUUGCAGAGAAAAGUAGAGAGAGAAAAUUCUUAUUGAUUUGGGAUGAAUUACAAUAGAAUAGAACCCCUCUAUUUAUAUAGGGGAAAAAUGACUUACUUAACCACAAAGUAACAAACCCUAAGAUCUCUCUAAAACAUACACAUUCAUCCUAAAUAUAGUUCUAUUUAUAAUAGUACUCUAAUAGUUGUGGAAUAAUCUGCAAUUAAAACACACAAAAGACUAUGGUUAAAUUAUUAAAGGUUCUCAUGUAAUUAAAUAUAGGUAAACUUAAUUAAUAUAAGCUUUCCGUACAUUCUGUACAAAUAGUUCCGAAGUUAAAUCCUUAUCCAAAAUGGAAAAGUUCCAAAAUAGAAGGGUGUUUCCUUUUAACAAAAUAGAAGGGCUUAUAAAUCGUACCUAAAAAAAACUCGGGCGGGAGUCAGAUAGGUUGGGGUAAAUACUUACACCUGGUGCUGGUAAGUUUUUAGCACAUAUUGUUUCACCGUUUCUGUUGUAUAAAAUGAUUUUAUGAAUUAAUGACAAGUUUUUAUCUUGAUAUUGCUGGUUGAAAUUGGUAUUUUUAAUUAAGAUUUGCUUUAAGUUUCAGAUUUAAAAUUCUGAAUUUGGGCUGGAUUACUGUAACUCUUUUAGUUCAUUUACAAUUUUUCUGAAUGUUAGGGUUUCAUUUUCUUGAUAGACUGUUCUCCCCUGGAUGAAGCUAAAGUUUUGAUCUUUCUGCUUUUUUCUUGUUAUGGGAACAACUUUUGCAUAAACUCUGAAUAGGGUUUUCAAAUGAGCAGUUGAGAAUGGAGAAUUUGAAAGCAGUAGUACAGAAGCCAUAUGCUAAAAUUUCCCCAUCUUGUUCAAUGCCCAUGUUUAAGCGGCCAAAGGUAUUCGCAAUGCGCAGUUUUCCAGAGGGUUUUACGCGAUUUGCUAAACGUGUUAUAGAGAAAACUAAGGAAGAUAUUGAUGUUGAACAAGAAACUGAAUCUAUAGGGUCUCACGAGCCGGAUGCUGAGGUUGGGGAAAAAUUAGUGUAUGGUGAAAAGAAUAUCAUAUCCUCUAGUGUUCAAGCUAUGAAGUUUGAGCCAAUUGUUAUUUCUGAACAAAAGGCAGGUGCAGAAUUAGGUAUUCAGAUGCCAGAGGAUCUGAGGGAUGGUAAAAGAAUUGCUCGAAUCGAAUCUAUUGAGUGUGGAAGCACUGAGCAUGUAGACUUGAUUAAGGUUGUGGAUACGCGUAAACAGAAUGCUCAAGUGGAGGAUGGAGCUUGUGUUGACCUGGUCGACAAGUUAAAAACGAGAGAAUGUGAUAUGACCAAGUUAAGGAGGCAUAAGUUUUACGCAGUUCGUGAUUUUCCAAAGGAUCUUAAGAAUUUUGAGGGUGUUGACCCGAAAUCCCAAGAGGAUUAUGUGCUGGAAUCUGGUGAUAUCCAUGUUGAUCAUAAAUCUAAAGAGGAUCAUGUUAAGGAAACAAAUGAUGACUCUGAUAAACAUUUGAAGGUUGAUUUUGGGUGUCAAGGAGAUUUAGUGGAUCCUUUUGCAGAUGCAAUAUUAUGUGAAGAAGAAUUUGAGCAACAGGAGCCUGUUGUGCCAAUUGAUCUAGAGGAAGUAAUACAAUUAGAUGUAGAUUUGGAGUUGAAUGAGGCUUUCGAGGAUGAAGAUACCAUUGGCCAGUUUGAAUGUGAGGAGCAUGGUAAUAACCGUUACGCGAUGGCACAAAAUGUUCCACUUGUAAAGACUGCAUCAGAAGAUGCUAAAAAAUUUCAGUUGCUGAACGGGCUAUGUACUUCAGAGGUCAAUCCUUUUGGGUUUUCGAAAAGACGUAAAGUGUUUGGGGUUCGUGAUUUUCCAGAUGCAUUUAAGAUCUUAAAAUCACAUAAGGAGGCAUCGGGGGAAAAAUCAGGAUCACCGAGCAGCUGACAAAUUGGCAGGGAAUAUUGAAGCAACAUGUGAUUCGCAAUAUGAUGUGCAAUGCAUGAAUAAAAAUGUUAUUCAGGAUCCAAUGGCUACACUAAGAUGCCCCAGCAUGACAAGCAAAUCCUACCAAUCAGAUAUUAAAUCUCAUCAAGACAAAGGCAAAGGCGAAGGCGAAGUUUCAAAGAGAAAACAGAGUGAAGAAUCAGCGCCAAUAAGUGUCGUUCUGGCAUUGAUGGCUCCUACUAAAUGUCAACGUAGACCUGGGAAAAACUAAUUCUACAACAAAAGCUACAGCAAAGAAUGUGUAAUCUUGGCACAAUUUUCUGAUGGAAUGGAAGUGGCAUACUAAAAGCAGCUAAAGGAUGUUUUUGCUAUGGAAAAAGUACCUGAGAAGUUCGCUUUAUAGGCAACUGCUUUCUCAAGAUAUGCACCAUUGAAUGUUGAAC